rnacentral:rRNA from 1 species
UACGUAGGGAGCAAGCGUUGUCCGGAAUCAUUGGGCGUAAAGCGCGCGUAGGCGGCCCUGUAAGUCCGUUGUGAAAGUCAAAGGCUCAACCUUUGAAAGCCGAUGGAUACUGCAGGGCUAGAGUCCGGAAGAGGCGAGUGGAAUUCCUGGUGUAGCGGUGAAAUGCGCAGAUAUCGGGAAGAACACCCGUGGCGAAGGCGGUUCUCUGGGACGGUACUGACGCUGAGACGCGAAAGCGUGGGGAGCGAACAGG